AGUGAACGCUGGCGGUAGGCCUAACACAUGCAAGUCGAACGGCAGCACAGUAAGAGCUUGCUCUUACGGGUGGCGAGUGGCGGACGGGUGAGGAAUACAUCGGAAUCUACUUUUUCGUGGGGGAUAACGUAGGGAAACUUACGCUAAUACCGCAUACGACCUUCGGGUGAAAGCAGGGGAUCUUCGGACCUUGCGCGAUUGAAUGAGCCGAUGUCGGAUUAGCUAGUUGGCGGGGUAAAGGCCCACGCAGGCGACGAUCCGUAGCUGGUCUGAGAGGAUGAUCAGCCACACUGGAACUGAGACACGGUCCAGACUCCUACGGGAGGCAGCAGUGGGGAAUAUUGGACAAUGGGCGCAAGCCUGAUCCAGCCAUACCGCGUGGGUGAAGAAGGCCUUCGGGUUGUAAAGCCCUUUUGUUGGGAAAGAAAAGCAGCAGGUUGAUACCCCGCUGUUCUGACGGUACCCAAAGAAUAAGCACCGGCUAACUUCGUG
rnacentral:rRNA from 1 species